rnacentral:rRNA from 1 species
UACGAAGGGGGCGAGCGUUGUUCGGAAUUACUGGGCGUAAAGGGCGCGCAGGCGGCUCUGAAAGUCAGAUGUGAAAGCCCCGGGCUUAACCUGGGAAUUGCAUUUGAUACUCUGGAGCUUGAGUACGGGAGAGGGGAGUGGAAUUCCCAGUGUAGAGGUGAGAUUCGUAGAUAUUGGGAAGAACACCGGUGGCGAAGGCGGCUCUCUGGACCGUAACUGACGCUGAGGCGCGAAAGCGUGGGGAGCAAACAGG